UACGUAGGUGGCAAGCGUUGUCCGGAAUUACUGGGUGUAAAGGGAGCGUAGGCGGGAAGGCAAGUUGGAUGUGAAAUACCGCAGCUUAACUGCGGGGCUGCAUCCAAAACUGCUUUUCUUGAGUGAAGUAGAGGUAAGCGGAAUUCCUAGUGUAGCGGUGAAAUGCGUAGAUAUUAGGAGGAACACCAGUGGCGAAGGCGGCUUACUGGGCUUUAACUGACGCUGAGGCUCGAAAGCGUGGGUAGCAAACAGGAUUAGAUACCCUGGUAGUCCACGCCGUAAACGAUGAUUACUAGGUGUGGGGGGGUUAGACCUUCCGUGCCGGAGUUAACACAAUAAGUAAUCCACCUGGGGAGUACGAUCGCAAGAUUGAA
rnacentral:rRNA from 1 species